rnacentral:rRNA from 1 species
AUGAACGCUGGCGGCGUGCCUAAUCCAUGCAAGUCGAGCGAACAGACGAGGAGCUUGCUCCUCUGACGUUAGCGGCGGACGGGUGAGUAACACGUGGAUAACCUACCUAUAAGACUGGGAUAACUUCGGGAAACCGGAGCUAAUACCGGAUAAUAUAUUGAACCGCAUGGUUCAAUAGUGAAAGACGGUUUUGCUGUCACUUAUAGAUGGAUCCGCGCCGCAUUAGCUAGUUGGUAAGGUAACGGCUUACCAAGGCAACGAUGCGUAGCCGACCUGAGAGGGUGAUCGGCCACACUGGAACUGAGACACGGUCCAGACUCCUACGGGAGGCAGCAGUAGGGAAUCUUCCGCAAUGGGCGAAAGCCUGACGGAGCAACGCCGCGUGAGUGAUGAAGGUCUUCGGAUCGUAAAACUCUGUUAUUAGCGAAGAACAAAUGUGUAAGUAACUAUGCACGUCUUGACGGUACCUAAUCAGAAAGCCACGGCUAACUACGUG